rnacentral:rRNA from 1 species
UACGGAGGGUGCAAGCGUUAUCCGGAUUCACUGGGUUUAAAGGGAGCGUAGGAGGGCAGGUAAGUCAGUGGUGAAAUCUUCGAGCUUAACUCGGAAACUGCCGUUGAUACUAUCUGUCUUGAAUACCGUGGAGAUGAGCGGAAUAUGUCAUGUAGCGGUGAAAUGCUUAGAUAUGACAUGGAACACCAAUUGCGAAGGCAGCUCGUUACACGAAUAUUGACUCUGAGGCUCGAAAGCGUGGGGAUCAAACAGG